UACGUAGGGUGCGAGCGUUAAUCGGAUUUACUGGGCGUAAAGCGUGCGCAGGCGGCCCGUUAAGACAGGUGUGAAAUCCCUGGGCUCAACCUAGGAAUUGCGCUUGUGACUGGCGGGCUCGAGUACGGUAGAGGGGGGUGGAAUUCCUGGUGUAGCAGUGAAAUGCGUAGAGAUCAGGAGGAACACCGAUGGCGAAGGCAGCCCCCUGGGCCUGUACUGACGCUCAUGCGCGAAAGCGUGGGGAGCAAACAGG
rnacentral:rRNA from 1 species